AAGGGAAGGUCAAACCAAUUAAAUUUGAAUAUCUUAAUAUCCAUGUGUCUUUCGGAAUUCGACUUAUUUUGAUCAAAUGAAAGGGAAAAAGACGUACAUUUUUACGGUCACUGUUCUUGAUUUUUUUUGGAAGGUAUUCAAAGAUAUAUAUUACGCUCGAAUGACACAAUCACACUAGGAUGAAUAAGGGGAGGCUCUGGAGGAAAAGAAUACGUC
ensembl:ncRNA K08E5.12 ncRNA